rnacentral:misc_RNA from 1 species
CUGAGGGAUUCAGGGAAAGCUGAAUCGUUGAUGUGCGAUAAGGUUGAAAUUAGGGUUCGAAAAUGGAAUAAAGACAAAUAGAACAAAAGAGGACUUUAUGGAUUUCCUCCAAUCACGGCUUAGGAACGAAAUCUUUUGGUGUAUUUAGUACCUGCAAAGAGCACUGAGCAGCACAAGGGCCAAAGGCGUCGCCCCGUCAGUAACAACGGGAUGGAAGAAUUGAGC